GGACGAACGCUGGCGGCGUAGCCUAACACAUGCAAGUCGAGCGGGGACAUGCGACGGAUCAGAAGUUUCGGAUGGAAGAGAAGAUGUAUGUUCUAGCGGACGGACGGGUGAGUAACGCGUGAGCAACCUGUCCUUCACAGGGGGAUAACACAGCGAAAGUUGUACUAAUACCGCAUAAGACCACACUGAGACAUCUCGAGAGGGGUCAAAGGAGUAAUCCGGUGAAGGGUGGGCUCGCGUCCGAUUAGAUAGUUGGUGAGGUAACGGCCCACCAAGUCGACGAUCGGUAGCCGACCUGAGAGGGUGAUCGGCCACAUUGGGACUGAGACACGGCCCAAACUCCUACGGGAGGCAGCAGUGGGGAAUAUUGGGCAAAAUGGGGGAAACCCUGACCCAGCAACGCCGCGUGAGGGAAGAAGGUUUUCGGAUCGUAAACCUCUGUCCUUGGUGAAGAGGAAGAGACGGUAGCCAAGGAGGAAGCCCCGGCUAACUACGUGCCAGCCGCCGC
rnacentral:rRNA from 1 species